GGUUAUCAGCUACUUCUCUAUUUUGUUGCCGUAUUUUUCUGUCCUGAUAGAAUCUGAGUGCCUUCUACAAGCUACAGCUUAAGCUCUAUUUUGUUGCUGAAUUUUGUUGAAGCUUUAAGUGAAUACUCUGCCUUCAUUUAAAAGCUGAUCUUGAGGAUUCUGGUAUCUGGGAGAAAGCUUUUUAGUCAUUUUUAAAGCAUCCCUUAUAAAGUCACCCCCCUUAUCCCUAGAUUCAGGUAUUCAAUAUUUUAGAGAGAGUAUGGUCUUUAUUCUUUCCCACCAUGUCUGCCUGUUCAAGUACUACAUCAAGGCUCAGUUCAAAUGCUCUCUCAGGAGACCUUUCCUCUCCCGUGUCUAUUCUUUAACCCUUAUUACAUUUUGUGUUUAUAUAUAUCUCAAUCCCCGAUUGAGAGCAGGGGCUACAUCUUAAUCAGCUUUGUCCUCCCCAUGGUGCUAAGCCAGUGCCUUGAGCAUAGAGAAGCAUCUGCUGCCCCCCAUGGAAGUGUUUGUCCUCAGUAAGCCUGUCAGUGGCUUCAGAAAUCAAAGAACUAGGAACUUUACAACUAUUAAGCAACCCUAGAAGUACUUUACAAGAAUGAUUUUCAACAUUAUUAACAUUUCAAAUUUUAUAAUUAGCAGUUAUAAAUCUGCCAGUGCAGAGUCCUGUGAUCACAAAACUAAAUUAUCUCGUUUCACUUUGACACUAAAGUACAGUAAGACACCCACUGCAGCCUGGUGUUCUGCAUUUUUGCCUCUUCCCCAUCCGACCCCUGCCCACACUAUAUGCUCUAGCUCAUGAGUCAUCUUGUUAUUUGUGUGGUAAAGAAAUGUACUAUUCCUGACAUGAAGCUACAUGGGCAAUUUUCAAGUAGUUUUCAAAAUUGGCUAUGUGGACUGAUUUUUUGUCAGUCAGAGAAGGAAUUAUCUGUUUUUGUAGGAAUGUCCAGUUCACGCAGGCUGGAGAGCCUGCCGCUAUCAUUUCUCUCUAUCAAGGACUCUUUUAACAGGGUUUGAUUUUCUCAUUCAGUUGCAGUAGUGGCCAGUAUGUAAUGGUACUGAAGAGGUACCGCAGCCAAAACUUACUUGCUGAGGAAAUGCUGGUCUGGGAGACGCAGCUCAAGCAUUGAUUUUUUUUUCAGUAUUCUAUGGGAAAGAAACACCACAUUCAGAGGAGUUUGAGGCAGUCAGUGAGCUGUAGAAAAGCCAGGUUUAAAACGUAACAGCCUCUUUCUCUCGUAGGUUUCGUUUCAUUUUUCUACAUCUUUAAGUGAGGGACUGAAAUUAGAUUUAUAGGGUUCUUCCUUAAAUACUUUAUUUUUCCUUUGCUUAACAGAAAUACUAAUAUGCUUUCAAAGUAACUUUCUGAAAAUGUUCUUAUUUACAUAAUGGUUAACAUGAUAAAGGGAAUGUGUCAUGGGGACUUGACCUUACACAAUUGUAGGAAGUGGCAAAGUGUAGUCUGUCAGUUUUCUAGUCUGAUGCUGGAACUUGAAGCCCACAGGACAGGCAGUCAGAAAGGAUGUAGAGUUGGGAAGAACAGGAACAAGCUGGAACCCAGAGGCAUGAGCUGCAGCCCACAAGGACACAUUAAAAUCUCAGUUCUUGCCUCUGACCUUGAUGGUGUGGGGAGACCCUUCAUCAGAGAAGCUGAAGGAAGAGCCAGGGACGGUGGAGCAGUUGGAGGCGCAGACGUGGAAUCACACUGAGAAGGUGAGCCAGCAGUUGUCAACAUCGGCUCUAGGCCCUGAAAGUCAAGAUGAAGAAUGAAAUGCUGAGGAAAAGCAACUUCUUCAUCACUGGGUACCUUCAGUGGAGAAAACUGACAUGCGAGUUACACCAUCCUUCACAGUCUAAGAGGUACCACUGUAAAUGAUGUAACUAAUAGCAGCACCACAGUCUGGCUCUCAGGGAUUCUUUCCCCUUGGGCACCAGAAUCCUUUUUUGUAGUGUGUAGACGAUUCUGCUGUGUUGACAGACCAUGAACACACUGAGAUUAAGGAGAAUGUAAUAAACACAUUUUCAUGCUUGUGUAGGAUGCUACGACUUAGACUCAGUGCUCCAGAACUCUUAGAUGUUACCUACAACCAUGAGUCUCAAACUGUUUUCUAAGCUUGGCACACGUGGUGGUUUCACCUGCUCAGCCCUAUUCCCCGGGGCUUCCUGGGGUUAUGCCGCUAAGAAGGUGUUAACUAGAACUUCACCCCUCUUGCUGGCACUUAACAAAAACACAUCAGAAAGCACGUGAGUGAAAGUAAUAUUAUAGGGAUGACUUUCAGUCUGCAGGAACUUAAAAGGCAAGCUUUGAAAUUUAAACCAUUAGCAACAGAGUAGUACUUGUAAUCCCACUUGAGUGUCACCACACUGUGGUUAAAAAAUUGUGCUCCCCAAAACAGUAUGCAUGUAAAUGCUCCCCCCCAUGUUGGUGAGGAAAGACAAUAUGAGAACUAGUGCUAGGUAUUUCUUUUUAGCUCAAGUUUUAAAAAUUAGUGUUUGUUUUAUAACAACUAAUAUUGAAUAUUAGUACAUGUGUAAAAUUUAUAGCUAAAUAUCCAUAUAAUGAGCAUUCGUGUUACAACUUUGUUUUUACUGAUUGGGGUACAAGAUCAAAAUUUUGAAACCAUCAACCUAAAAGAAAGUGCAACUCAUUUUCUUCAUUUAAGUUCAAAUUUUAGUACUCAAAGUUUUAGGAGAUUAAAAAAAGAUAAAGCCAAAUGCUUUUCCUAUUAAUGAGUAAAAUCCAAAAUAAAAGCUACUGCAAUACCUAAUAAUACACGUAAGAAAAGAGGAAGUUAACAGGGAGACAGCACUGGAAUGGAAUGAGAAUAGCAUCUUUCUACUAAAGAUGCAGUGCCACCUUACACCUAUCCAUGCACGCCCAUGCACAUGGGUAGCAGUUAUUAUAUAACCCCCUUGAACAGUUCAGGGGAAAAAGAAUGUAACAAAAUGGACAGCUUCUUGGCAUUUUGCCAUGGUCUUUAGUAUUUGGUCUCUUCAAGAAAGGCAGCUAGUUUGAUAGUCGACCCUACAAUAUUUAGGAAAUGAAAGCCAUAUGUGAGAUUAGAAAAUCAUAUAGUCAUAGUGGAGGCACAACUCCAGGAUGGAAGAGCAGUGGGCACCUGAAAACUACUGCACAUCUUCUUUACUGACCAGAAGUUUCUUGUGGCCACGUGGUUUUAGGCCAGGCUUUUCCCAAGGGAACAGACUACACAUCGCCUAGUCUAUACAGUCCACAGAGAGUCACAGUGGAACAAAGCCACAGGCAGUGGGAGGAAGUGCAAUGGGCCCAGAAUGAACAGGGUGUAAGGUUCUGUAAUCUUCUAAACUUGUGAAAUUAGGAAGGACAGAAUCUGCAGUCAUAAAUUCAUGAGUCCAUAUUUUAAAAAAAAAAGUCACUGGAAACAUGGAUGAACCUUGAAGAUUUUAUGCGGAGUGAAAUAAGCCAGUCACAAAAGGACAGACAUUCUAUUAUUUGUCUUAUGAGGAAUAUGAGUUGUCAGAUUCAUAGAGACAGAAAGUAGAAUGGUGGCUGCCAGAGGCUGGGGGGAGGGGAAAGUAGAGUUACUAUUUAAUGGGGACAGAGGUACAGCUGGGUAAGGUGGAAGAGUUCUGGAGAUGGAUGGUGGUGAAGGCUGCACAACAAUGUGAAUGUACUUAAUGCCACUGACCUGGACACUUGAAAAAGAUACAUUUUAUGUCACGUAUAUUUUACCACAUAUUGUUUUUUAAUCACUGAAGAAGCCAAUAUGGAAAAUGGACUGAAUGUUAAAGAAAAAGACAAAACCCCUUUUUAUUUUACAUCAAGAGAUGAGUACCUAGCUCCAAGGUCAAGGUCUAGGUUGAGAAUGAUCAUCAUGAGCCCUACUAAAGGACAACCACACACAGCUUUAAGAACGCUGUCACACAGCUCACCUUGUAGCUCUCCUUCACUCGAUGCCUAACUCUUCCAGACGUCCCAGUACUGAGGAAGGGUCUCCUCUUUCCAGCUUUGCCCAACCUUAUUCAUAAUAGACAAAUGAAAAGUCCCAGAAACCUGUUCUGUUUGGGAAAGUUUUCUUUUGUUCUAGGCUUCGGUGGUUAAUAUGCUUGACGAAUUUCAGAGUUUCCCUAUCUCUGUAGACCAAGGCCAAAGAAUUGUUUUCUGGAUUCACUGUUAGCAGCUGAAAUAGGCAAAUACAGUGAUACAUCAGAACACGGAGAUUAUAUUCUCACCUCUUUUCUUAAACAGACGGUUCCAUAUCAAAUACUCAGCCUCCAGCAAUAGAGGAUCCUUUAAAGUAUCCUUUACUAGGAGGAGCUAUUGAUCUUGCUGUCCAGACAUUUUCCAAUAGGCCCCAUUCCAGUACAUACCCAGAAAAGUUUUACCUAAUGCAUUGAUUUCUUACUACAUUGAAAGAUUCAUGGGAAUGCACCAUCUGACUCUUAAUUUAUUUGGAAUUUCUUUUAGCUGGGUAGAAUGCUUAGUGAUUAUCCUUUAGCCUCUUUAUUCCAUGCUGAAUACUUUCUACUAGAAAUUAGAACCACUGCCAGCCAGACCAAUGUGGAUUUAUCAGCUAAAGACACUGGCAGAAGGUCGUAAAAGUUGCGUCUCUGAAGAAUGAAAGUGUCUUCAAGAACUAAAAAAGGAUGGUUUGCUAUCAGAAGCAACUUACCUCUUCAUCUUCUCCUUUGGCAAUGUAGGAGGUAAAGCCACCAUACUCUGGCUCCCAGCCUUAUGAAGGGAAAACAAAGAGCAUUCAGAAAGCUCUCACUGCAAGAGUUACAUUGAUCUGUUUGAAUCACUGAUCCCAUGCUGCUUAAAACGGGGAUCUGGGAGUUCAGUAGAACUAACUCUGACUUAUGAGCCUGAAUUUAUCAUUCAACCAACACUGAAUAAGAACUGAAAACUAAGAACUAAAUAUAAAAUACACCUAGAAGGACAAUUACAUAAAAGUGCUGGGGGGUUCAUUAGAUGGAAAUUAUGAUUUAGUUCAUCUCCUAUACCUUGGUCACAGAUACAAAUAGUACUUUGAGUUGGGAGAUGACUGAAAUUCAUGACCCCUAAGAUCCCUUCCAGCAGAGCUCCUGUGAUCUGAGAUCCUGGCCAAGGCGAAUUACUUGUGAUCUUGGUUCAGUUAGAGGGGGUCACUCAGGAGAGACUGUCCCUCUUACCUUCACAGCCACAGUAGAGAAGUAAGUCCAGGGCAAAUUCAGUCUUGCUGUUGUCAUGGAUUAAAGUGUAGUGACCAGUCUUCCAAUGCCUCAGUUCCCCCUGGCAUGUGGGAACACUUGAUUCUAAGAAAAAAAACAACAGAAGGCCAGAAAAAAAUAACCUUGAUACCACUGCAGAUUGCAAAAGAAUGAUAAUUAGGAAUAGUUAUAGCACUAAAGAGAAACUAUUUCCAUAAACCUUCAGCUGACCUAUUGCUCCAUUAUAUUAUUAAAUAUAUAAGCCUUAUAAUGAAAAAAAGUUGACUUUCUAUUUCUCUUUACCAUGAUUUUCAGAUGGAGUAUAUAUUUAGCUGCCAGAAAUUUUCUCUAAAGUAACAUGAAUAUUAUUGUUAACUAAACUUUACUUUUUAGAGCAGUUUACAGAAAAGUUAAGUUUCCCAGAAAGUACAGUUCCUCUACUCCUGCCACACACAACCCCUGCCCCUCCCCAUCAGUUUCCUCUAUUAUUAACAUCUUGCCUUAGUGUGAUUUAUUUGUUACAACUGACCAAUAUUGAUGCAUUAUUAACUGAAGUCCACAGUUUACGUUAGGGUUUGCUCUUGGUGUUGUACAUUCUACUAGUUUAAUGUCAUGUGUCCAUUCCAUCUUGUUUGGAGAUGAUUAAACGUCCUCUGCUUUUAAUAAUUUCCUUCUACCUAUCUGUCCAAAUUCAAGCAAGUUUUUCUUAGGCUGAUAUUGGUUCUUAGCAGAAAGAAGCCACUCACCUUCCUCUUUAUGUUCUUGUGUUUCAAAGUAGGUUUAGGUAACGCCAGUCAUAUUUCUCUCCACCAUCUGUACUACUGUUAGCCUAAUAAAAUGUACUAGCUGUUCUUCCUACCCGGAAUGCUGUCCUAGCAGAUCCUUCUUGUCAUUCAGAUCUGAGCUUGGAUGACAGCUCCUCAGACAGGCUGGUCCAGAUUGCCCAUUCACCUAAGAGGCCACCCAGUCAUUCCUCAGCACAUACCCCUAUUCAGAUUUCCUGCAGAGCACCUAGCCUUAUUUGAUGUUUUCUUGUUGUUCGUGUAUCAUUUAAUCUCUGUCUUCUCCUACUAUCAAUAGACUGUAAGCCAGGGAGAGCAGAGACCUUGUCUGUCUUCUUCUCCAGUUCCAGAAAUAGGGCCUAGCAUAUAGUAGGUGCUUAAGAAAUGUUUGUUGAAUGAAUAAAUGACUGAAUUGUGAAUACCUAAUAGUAAAAGAAGGACAGAACGUAA